rnacentral:rRNA from 1 species
UGGUCAAGUUAUUAAGGGUGCAGGGCGGAUGCCUUGGCACUAGGAGCCGAUGAAGGACGUGAUAAGCUGCGAUAAGCUUCGGGGAGUUGCACGUAAACUUUGAUCCGAAGAUUUCCGAAUGAGGAAACUCACUUAGAGUAAUGUCUAAGUAUCAUUAAGUGAAUACAUAGCUUAAUGAGGGGAACUCAGGGAACUGAAACAUCUAAGUACCUGAAGGAAGAGAAAGAAAUUCGAUUCCGUAAGUAGCGGCGAGCGAACGCGGAUUAGCCCAAACCAAUAAAGUUUUCUUUAUUGGGGUUGCGGACAUAUCAUAACGAAGAGGUAUCGUAAUUGAAGAGGUUUGGAAAGACCCACCACAGAAGGUAAUAGUCCUGUAUGUUAAACGAGAAGACUUUAGAUAUGAUCCAGAGUACCACGGGACACGUGAAACCCUGUGGGAAGCAGGAGGGACCACCCUCCAAGGCUAAAUACUACCUAGUGACCGAUAGCGUAUAGUACCGUGAGGGAAAGGUGAAAAGAACCCCGGGAGGGGAGUGAAAUAGAACCUGAAACCCUGCACUUACAAGCUGUGGAAGCACAUUUCUUGUGUGACCGCGUACUUUUUGUAGAACGGGCCAACGAGUUACGUUAAGUAGCAAGGUUAAGCACUUAAGGUGCGGAGCCGUAGCGAAAGCGAGUUUUAACUGAGCGUUCAGUUACUUGACGUAGACCCGAAACCGGGCGACCUACCCAUGAGCAGGAUGAAGCGAAAGUAAAAUUUCGUGGAGGUCCGAACCCACGAGCGUUGAAAAGCUCGGGGAUGACUUGUGGGUAGCGGUGAAAUUCCAAUCGAGCCCGGAGAUAGCUGGUUCUCCCCGAAAUAGCUUUAGGGCUAGCCUCAAGGUGAGAGAUACGGAGGUAGAGCACUGAAUGUCCUAGGGGGUAUUGCACCUACCGAAGACUAUCAAACUCCGAAUGCCGUCAUCUUAUACUUGGGAGUCAGACUGUGGGUGAUAAGAUUCAUAGUCGAAAGGGCAACAGCCCAGAUCGUCAGCUAAGGUCCCUAAAUGUAAGUUAAGUGGUAAAGGAUGUGGGAUUGCACAGACAACCAGGAUGUUGGCUUAGAAGCAGCCACUCAUUCAAAGAGUGCGUAAUAGCUCACUGGUCGAGUGAUCCUGCGCCGAAGAUUUCCGGGGCUAAAACUUACUACCGAAGCUACGGCAUCAGUAAUGAUGGGUAGGGGAGCUUCCCAUACGGGUUGAAGCAUGACCGUAAGGACAUGUGGACAGUAUGGGAGUGAGAAUGUUGGCAUGAGUAGCGAGAUGUGGGUGAGAAUCCCACAGGCCGUAAACCCAAGGUUUCCAGGGGAAGGUUCGUCCGCCCUGGGUUAGUCGGGACCUAAGCUGAGGCCGAAAGGCGUAGGUGAUGGACAACAGGUUGAUAUUCCUGUACUACCGAUAACCGUUUGAGAGA